rnacentral:rRNA from 1 species
UACAGAGGGUGCGAGCGUUAAUCGGAAUUAUUGGGCGUAAAGCGCAUGUAGGUGGUUUAGAAAGUUUGAUGUGAAAUCCCUGGGCUUAACCUGGGAAUUGCGUUAAAGACUCUUAGACUGGAGUGGGAUAGAGGGUAGUGGAAUUUCCGGUGUAGCGGUGAAAUGCGUAGAGAUCGGAAAGAACAUCGGUGGCGAAGGCGGCUACCUGGGUCCCAACUGACACUGAGGUGCGAAAGCGUGGGGAGCAAACAGG